UCAAUUUCUCGCGGGGGCGCGACCGCUAUUGAUUCGUUCCCCUGCUAGGAAUUCUGGUGCCAGCAACCCCUUGUGAAACCCCCCUGUUGCUUCGGCAGCCCCUCCCAGGAGUGGUAAGCCUGCCGGCAGCAUCACGGAAACUCAAUUCUGAAAACUUGUAACCUAGGUCUGAACACAGCAGUCGAAUGACUAUA
rnacentral:misc_RNA from 1 species